rnacentral:rRNA from 1 species
AGAGUUUGAUCCUGGCUCAGGACGAACGCUGGCGGCGCGCUUAAUACAUGCAAGUCGAGCGAGAACCAGAGCUUCGGCUCUGGGGACAGCGGCGAACGGGUGAGUAACACGUGAGUAAUCUGCCCUCGGCACCGGGAUAGCCCGGGGAAACCCGGAUUAAUACCGGAUGGCCUCUCGAGCUUUCGGGCUCGUGAGAAAAGGUAGCUUCGGCCUCCGGCCGAGGAGGAGCUCGCGGCGGAUUAGCUUGUUGGUGAGGUAACGGCUCACCAAGGCGACGAUCCGUAGCUGGUCUGAGAGGAUGAUCAGCCACACUGGGACUGAGACACGGCCCAGACUCCUACGGGAGGCAGCAGUAGGGAAUCUUGCGCAAUGGGCGAAAGCCUGACGCAGCGACGCCGCGUGCGGGAAGAAGGCCUUCGGGUUGUAAACCGCUUUCAGGAGGGACGAAGCUACUCGGGUUAAUAGCCCAGAGGGUGACGGUACCUCCAGAAGAAGCCCCGGCUAACUACGUGCCAGCAGCGGCGGUAAUAC